rnacentral:rRNA from 1 species
CCUACGGGGGGCUGCAGUGGGGAAUAUUGGGCAAUGGGCGGAAGCCUGACCCAGCCACGCCGCGUGAGUGAUGAAGGCCUUCGGGUUGUAAAGCUCUGUGGGGAGAGACGAAAGAGCGGAACCUAAUACGUUCCGUGUUGACGGUAUCUCCUUAGCAAGCACCGGCUAACUCUGUGCCAGCAGCCGCGGUAAGACAGAGGGUGCAAACGUUGCUCGGAUUUACUGGGCGUAAAGCGCAUGUAGGCGGGAGGAUAAGUCGGGUGUGAAAUCCCUGG